rnacentral:sRNA from 1 species
AAGUAAUGGAUUUCCGCACACAACUGAUAAGGCUCUGUUACAGCUCCGACCACGAAAAACUGAAGCCUCAGUACUUGGAAGAGCUACCUGGACAACUGAAACAAUUCUCCAUGUUUCUGGGGAAAUUCUCAUGGUUUGCCGGGGAAAAGCUCACCUUUGUGGAUUUUCUCACCUAUGAUAUCUUGGAUCAGAACCGUAUAUUUGACCCCAAGUGCCUGGAUGAGUUCCCAAACCUGAAGGCUUUCAUGUGCCGUUUUGAGGUGACGUUUCCUGCACCUUUCUCUUAUAAAAACACUCACAGCUCCCCUGGGACCUGCAGGAUCCCAUUGUGGAGGAUUCUUCCCCGGCUUUUGCCUAAAGGGAUCAAUGGUUGGACACCUCUAAACCUUUAAGUCUUGGGAAGAGCCUGACUUCUAUACCUUGAAGGCACUGUCUACAAAAAAUGGAGGAGGUAGACGCAGGCAACACGUGAAUGUUGCUGUUCUGGUAUGCAUCUGUUGGACUGGGUUGGGGUCUUUAUAAGAUUUGGUGUAUUUUCCUUUCAGGCUUUGGAGAAAAUCGCUGCCUACAUACAGUCUGAUCAGUUCUUCAAGAUGCCCAUCAACAACAAGAUGGCCCAGUGGGGCAACAAGCCUGUAUGCUGAGCAGGAGGCAGACUUGCAGAGCUUGUUUUGUUUCAUCCUGUCCCUAAGGGGUCAGCACUCUUUCUUUGCUCUUUUCAAUAAAUAGCACUUACGUUA